GACGAACCGUGCGAACGUUGUUCGGAAUCACUGGGCUUAAAGGGCGCGUAGGUGGUCUGUCAAGUCGGGGGUGAAAUCUUUCGGCUCAACCGGAAAACUGCCUUCGAUACUGGCAGGCUAGAGGGAGGUAGGGGUUGCGGGAACUACCAGUGGAGCGGUGAAAUGCGUUGAUAUUGGUAGGAACGCCGGUGGCGAAAGCGCGCAACUGGACCUCUUCUGACACUGAUGCGCGAAAGCUAGGGGAGCAAACGGG
rnacentral:rRNA from 1 species